GAUGAACGCUGGCGGCGUGCCUAAUACAUGCAAGUCGAGCGAACAGAUAAGGAGCUUGCGCCUUUGACGUUAGCGGCGGACGGGUGAGUAACACGUGGGUAACCUACCUAUAAGACUGGAAUAACUCCGGGAAACCGGGGCUAAUGCCGGAUAACAUUUAGAACCGCAUGGUUCUAAAGUGAAAGAUGGUUUUGCUAUCACGUAUAGAUGGACCCGCGCCGUAUUAGCUAGUUGGUAAGGUAACGGCUUACCAAGGCAACGGUACGUAGCCGACCUGAAAGGGUGAUCGGCCACACUGGAACUGAGACACGGUCCAGACUCCUACGGGAGGCAGCAGUAGGGACUCUUCCGCAAUGCGCGAAAGCCUGACGGAGCAACGCCGCGUGAGUGCUGACGGUCUUCGGAUCGUAAAACUCUGUUAUUAGGAAAGAACAAAUGUGUUAGUAACUGUGCACGUCUUGACGGUACCUAAUCAGAAAGCCCCGGCUAACUACGUG
rnacentral:rRNA from 1 species